AUGGAAAGGGGUUGUGAGUCCGGUUGGAAAAAUAUACCAGAAAAUAGAAGCUUUAGCCUCCCCAUGUUGCAACAAUUUGAUCUCUAUCAGAACAAAUUCGAGGGUCAAAUUCCAUUGGGCCUUGCAUCGUCCCAGCAUCUUCAGCUACUUUCCGUUGCUGCAAAUCUAUUUGUGGAUGUGGUGCCCGUAUGGCUGGCUAAGCUACCACAACUUACGCUGAUUUCUAUGGGUGACAAUGCCCUAGUUGGCCCGAUCCCGCCUGUGCUUGGAAAUCUCACCAUGCUCAACUUCCUUGACAUCUCGUACUCCAACAUAAGCGGAGAUAUUCCUGUGGAAUUGGGAGAACUGAGACAACUGACUUGGUUGCACCUUUCGGACAAUCAACUAACAGGUCUCUUACCAGAAUUUCUAGGAAAUUAUUCAAAAAUGUCUGUCUUAAGUUUGGGAUGGAAUCGGCUGACUGGACCAGUACCGUCAACACCUGGAAAUAACAGGCCUCUAGUGUAUCUUGAUAUUCGAGAGAAUCAUCUCCAAGGGGAUCUUGGUUUCUUGGCCAGCCUUUGCGAUUGUCGGCAACUUCAAACCCUUGCCAUAUCAAAUAAUCCUUUCUCUGGGAGUAUCCCCAGCUAUUUCGGUAACCUCUCGACUAACCUGGUAGUAGUUGAAGCAAAGAAUAACCAUUUGGUUGGUGGGAUUCCAGAAACACUAUCAAAUCUUAGUGGUCUUCGUCUGAUAAGCUUUUCCAACAACCAUCUUACCAAAGAAAUACCAGAAUCCAUCUCUAAGUUGGAGAAUCUCCAGGCACUUGAUCUCGCUGGAAAUAGAAUGGUUGGCCAAAUCCCUGUACAAAUUGGUAUGCUGAGAAAUAUUGUAGAGUUACAACUCUCGGACAAUAUGUUAUCUGGCUCCAUACCAUAUGCCAUGGACAACCUCACCAUGUUAGAGCACGUUUCAUUAUCUUAUAACCAUCUAUCUUCGACAAUACCAUCAAGCUUCUUUUAUCACAGUAACCUUAUCCAACUAGAUCUGUCACAUAAUUCCCUAACCGGUACAUUACCUUCUGAACUUAGCCAUAUGCAAAGUAUGGACGUGAUGGAUCUUUCUAGUAACCUCUUGGGUGGUAGCCUUCCAAGUUCAUUCGGACAGGUUGCCAUGUUAUUAACCUACCUAAAUCUUUCACACAGCUCAUUUAAGGGUUUAGUCCCAAACUCUUUCGGCCGCUUAACCAACUUAGAAACAUUGGACCUAUCGUCAAACAAUCUUUCAGGUACAAUACCAGAAUACCUCGUUAACUUCACCUACCUUUCUUCUCUGAACCUCUCCUUCAAUAGGUUAGAAGGGCAAAUACCAAAUGGAGGUGUUUUCUCAAACAUCACCUUGCAAUCUUUGAUGGGGAAUGUUGGGCUAUGUGGUGCUCCUCAUCUAGGACUGUCACCGUGUCCGCACAAGUCUCACUUGACUUAUAGUCGACACAUCCUCAAAUUUAUACUCCCGGUUGUCAUCAUUGGAGUUGGUGCAUUUGCAACCACCAUGUACCUAAUGGUCAGAAAGAAAAAUAAGAAACAAUCUUAUGGUACGGCUUCUACUAGCAUGACUGAUCUGAUCAGCCAUAGGUUAGUAUCCUACCAUGAGAUUGCUCGUGCCACUGAAAAUUUCAAUGAGGACAACCUACUUGGUACCGGUAGUUUUGGCAAAGUUUUCAAAGGCCAACUAGAUGAUGGUUUGGUGGUUGCAAUAAAAGUGCUCAAUAUGCAAGUCGAGCAGGCUGUGAGGAGUUUUGAUGCUGAAUGUCAAGUGUUGCGCAUGGCUCGGCAUCGCAACUUAAUACAAAUAUUAAAUGCGUGUUCCAGCCUGGAUUUCAAGGCACUGCUCCUUCAGUACAUGCCCAAUGGUAUCAUGGAGACACACUUGCACAAUGAAAUAAGGGAACCACUAAGAUUCAUCCAGAGAUUGGACAUUAUGCUUGGCGUGCCAGAGGCAAUGGAGUACCUGCACCAUCAUCAUUUCCAAGUUGUCUUGCACUGUGACCUGAAGCCUAGCAAUGUGUUGUUCGAUGACGACAUGACGGCGCAUGUUGCCGACUUUGGCAUUGCAAAGUUACUUCUACGUGAUGACAACUCCAUGGUUUCAGCAAGUAUGCCGGGGACAAUUGGGUACAUGGCCCCUGAGCUAGCAUUCAUGGGAAAGGCAUCACGAAAGACUGACAUGUUCAGCUUCGGGAUCAUGUUGCUUGAAGUCUUCACAGGGAAGAGGCCCACAAACGCUAUGUUCGUUGGAGAAUCUAGCCUUAGGCAGUGGGUUUCGCAAGCAUUUCCAGCAAAGCUCGUUGAUGUUUUGGAUGAGAAGCUACAGCAGGGUGAAGAAAUGAACCUUGCCUUCCAUCACCAAACAAUUAAUACUUCAUCGUCGUCAUCCUCCAUUUCCUGCAAUGGAAACUUUCUUGUGUCGAUAUUCCAGCUGGGUCUAGAGUGUUCGGACGAUUCUCCCAGUCAGAGGGCAAGCAUGAGCGACGUGGUCGUGAGGCUCAAAAACAUUAAAAAGGAUUACUCUGCUUUCAUGGCGGCAACUCAAAGCGCGCAACAACGUUCAUGA
rnacentral:rRNA from 1 species